rnacentral:rRNA from 1 species
GACGAACGCUGGCGGCGUGCCUAAUACAUGCAAGUUGAGCGCUGAAGGUUGGUACUUGUACCAACUGGAUGAGCAGCGAACGGGUGAGUAACGCGUGGGGAAUCUGCCUUUGAGCGGGGGACAACAUUUGGAAACGAAUGCUAAUACCGCAUAAAAACUUUAAACACAAGUUUUAAGUUUGAAAGAUGCAAUUGCAUCACUCAAAGAUGAUCCCGCGUUGUAUUAGCUAGUUGGUGAGGUAAAGGCUCACCAAGGCGAUGAUACAUAGCCGACCUGAGAGGGUGAUCGGCCACAUUGGGACUGAGACACGGCCCAAACUCCUACGGGAGGCAGCAGUAGGGAAUCUUCUGCAAUGGACGAAAGUCUGACCGAGCAACGCCGCGUGAGUGAAGAAGGUUUUCGGAUCGUAAAACUCUGUUGGUAGAGAAGAACGUUGGUGAGAGUGGAAAGCUCAUCAAGUGACGGUAACUACCCAGAAAGGGACGGCUAACUACGUG